rnacentral:rRNA from 1 species
UACGUAGGUGGCAAGCGUUGUCCGGAUUUACUGGGCGUAAAGAGCGCGCAGGCGGUCGUUCAAGUCGCGUGUGAAAGCCCCCGGCUCAACUGGGGAGGGUCACGCGAUACUGAUCGACUCGAAGGCAGGAGAGGGUAGUGGAAUUCCCGGUGUAGUGGUGAAAUGCGUAGAUAUCGGGAAGAACACCAGUGGCGAAAGCGCUCUACUGGGCCAUAACUGACACUGAGGGACGAAAGCUAGGGGAGCGAAAGGG